UAAUCUCCGUCUCUCGCUGGGGUUUACACUGUUUUAGAAAUGGUUUAGUGUCUUCGAAAAAGUCCGUUAGCGUCUUAACAGUUUUCAGGAUGACAGAAAGAAACUCUACAGAACAAAGUGAAACUCCCAAGAUUUUUGAAAAGAAAAUUGGUGAAAAUAUAUUCUGAGAAAGGCAUAUUAAUCUAUUUCAUGAGCUUCUUCAGUAGGGGUGUCACGAUUUCGAUUUUAAAUCGAAAUCGAUCGAA